rnacentral:lncRNA from 1 species
AUCAUUCUUCUUCUGCGGCCAAUCCCUAGACUCCUUCAUCAUGGCAUUGCUAAUCUUGCUACAUUCUCUCAACAAUAGUUAAUAGCAACUUUCCAACUUCAUUCUCGUUACUCGCCGUCAAAAAAAUGAAUGUGUUAAAAAUGUCUGUGGGAGAGUAAUCAAACAAAUCAAAACUAUAGGAUUACCAAACUGACCAAGCAUUGCUUCUAUGCAAAUUUCUAAAAUCAAACUAUAGAACUCCAAAACCAAACUAAUGAAAAACUCCAAAACCAAGUCUUAUACACGAAAAAGCUAACAACCCAUUGCACUAUCCACUAUAUGUACCUGAACACUAUGUAUUCUGCUUCUUCCAAAUCAGCAGGGAACAAAAUUAAAUUAUGACAAUCAAAAUACAUAAAACUUCUACUACCUUUGCAAGAAGCAAGAUGAAUGGAUCUUCACUCACCUAAUAGCAUAAAAUACAAUCAUAAGUACAUGUUCAAGUAAAUUUAAAGUCAAAACGGCU